rnacentral:rRNA from 1 species
UCGGCUGUUCGGAUAUUGGGCGUAAGGGCUCGCAGGCGGUUUCUUAGUCUGAUGUGAAAGCCCCCGGCUCAACCGGGGAGGGUCAUUGGAAACUGGGAAACUUGAGUGCAGAAGAGGAGAGUGGAAUUCCACGUGUAGCGGUGAAAUGCGUAGAGAUGUGGAGGAACACCAGUGGCGAAGGCGACUCUCUGGUCUGUAACUGACGCUGAGGAGCGAAAGCGUGGGGAGCGAACAGGAUUAGAUACCCUGGUAGUCCACGCCGUAAACGAUGAGUGCUAAGUGUUAGGGGGUUUCCGCCCCUUAGUGCUGCAGCUAACGCAUUAAGCACUCCGCCUGGGGAGUACGGUCGCAAGACUGAAACUCAAAGGAAUUGACGGGGGCCCGCACAAGCGGUGGAGCAUGUGGUUUAAUUCGAAGCAACGCGAAGAACCUUACCAGGUCUUGACAUCCUCUGACAACCCUAGAGAUAGGGCUUUCCCUUCGGGAACAGAGUGACAGGUGGUGCAUGGUUGUCGUCAGCUCGUGUCGUGAGAUGUUGGGUUAAGUCCCGCAACGAGCGCAACCCUUGAUCUUAGUUGCCAGCAUUUAGUUGGGGCACUCUAAGGUGACUGCCGGUGACAAACCGGGAGGAAGGUGGGGGAUGACGUCAAAUCAUCAUGCGCCCUUUAUGACCUGGGCUACACACGUGCUACAAUGGGACCAG